UUGAACGCUGGCGGUAUGCUUUACACAUGCAAGUCGAACGGCAGCACGGGGCAACCUGGUGGCGAGUGGCGAACGGGUGAGUAACAUAUCGGAACAUGUCCGGAAGUGGGGGAUAACGCACCGAAAGGUGCGCUAAUACCGCAUAUGCCCCGAGGGGGAAAGGGGGGGAUCGCAAGACCUCUCGCUUUCGGAGUGGCCGAUAUCGGAUUAGCUAGUAGGUGAGGUAAAGGCUCACCUAGGCGACGAUCCGUAGCUGGUCUGAGAGGACGACCAGCCACACUGGAACUGAGACACGGUCCAGACUCCUACGGGAGGCAGCAGUGGGGAAUUUUGGACAAUGGGCGCAAGCCUGAUCCAGCCAUACCGCGUGAGUGAAGAAGGCCUUAGGGUUGUAAAGCUCUUUCAGCCGGAAAGAAAUCGUGCAACCUAAUACGUUGUAUGGAUGACGGUACCGGAAGAAGAAGCACCGGCUAACUACGU
rnacentral:rRNA from 1 species